rnacentral:rRNA from 1 species
AUGAUUCAAACUGGCUCUAAAUAAACACAUAUUUUUUUGUGGAAAGUUCAAAUGCCUCCACGAGUCAAAGUUUUUAUUUGGCUGGCUCUGAGAAAUUGCAUUCUUACCAAAGAUAAUUUGUCGCAUCGGGGGUGGAUUGGUGAUAGUAAGUGUUCUUUUUGUGGGAGAGAAGAAACUGUUAAUCACCUGUUUUUCCAUUGUUCUGUUGCACAAUUGUUAUGGAACAUUAUGAAAUGUGUUUUUGACAUGUUUGAUAUACCUGCCACUGUUCAUGAUUUGUUCAAUUCUUGGGUGAAAAAAACAAUAAGAAUGAUAUAG